AUUGCUGGCACACUCAUCCCUGUUCUCAAAUAUCUUUUAAACUUGGGUGAAGUGAUAAGUAGGGGAAGAUGAUUUACUGAAAGCAAUGCAGAGUCUCCCGAGAACAGAUUCAGACUGAACAGAUUUGUGUCAGACUUUGGGAGACCGCUGGUGCCCAAGAUGUUCUCUGGCAGGUCAAUGACGAAUCUAGGUCCAUCUUUCACAGCUACGUCAAUGAAGUGGGACACUUCGACAAGGCCAAAGCUGGUAUCCCAACCAUAGCCCUUGACAGUGAUGUUCGGCUCCAGGAAGCCAUCAGAUGCAGCAGGUGGCCAGAGGAGGAGCCGAACUUGCUCAUGAAAUGUGACAUCCCCAACUUCAUCAACACGGACCAGAACUCUUCCUUUGGGGAAGAUGAUCUGAUUUUCGAACCACCGAAUGUUCUAGAAAAUAAGCCAGUUGCCCAGACCCCACACAAAGACUUGAAUUGAGAAACGUGCAUUGUCAGGUGUAUUUUUGAAGAUAUGAAUUUUGUCUUUGUAUGGCAGGAAGUCCCUUUUCACAAAAUUGUAUGUGUUUUUGUCUGAGAGAGAGAAAUGGAGACAGACAGAAAGACGAAGAAGCAGAAGAGAGCCCCCUCAGAAGAGAGCUAGUUAAGAAUCCUUGAGAGGUCCCUGUCAUCAUUGUCAA